AACGAACGCUGGCGGCAGGCUUAACACAUGCAAGUCGAGCGAGGACUUUGGUCCUAGCGGCGGACGGGUGAGUAACGCGUGGGAACGUGCCCUUUCCUCCGGAAUAGCCCUGGGAAACUGGGAGUAAUGCCGGAUACGCCGCCUCAUAGCGAUAUGGGGUGGGAAAGAUUUAUCGGGGAAGGAUCGGCCCGCGUUGGAUUAGGUAGUUGGUGGGGUAACGGCCUACCAAGCCGACGAUCCAUAGCUGGUUUGAGAGGAUGAUCAGCCACACUGGGACUGAGACACGGCCCAGACACCUACGGGAGGCAG
rnacentral:rRNA from 1 species